rnacentral:rRNA from 1 species
CUUCGGCCCGAGUUGUAAUUUGCAGAGGAUGUUUUUGGCGCGGUGCCUUCCGAGUUCCCUGGAACGGGACGCCACAGAGGGUGAGAGCCCCGUAUGGUUGAACACCAAGCCUGUGUAAAACUCCUUCGACGAGUCGAGUAGUUUGGGAAUGCUGCUCUAAAUGGGAGGUAAAUCUCUUCUAAAGCUAAAUACCGGCCAGAGACCGAUAGCGCACAAGUAGAGUGAUCGAAAGAUGAAAAGCACCUUGAAAAGGGGGUUAAACAGUACGUGAAAUUGUUGAAAGGGAAGCGCUCAUGACCAGACUUGUGCCGUGCGGCUCAUCCGGGGUUCUCCCCGGUGCACUCCGCACGGCUCAGGCCAGCAUCGGUUCUCGUUGGGGGAUAAGAACAGUAGGAACGUGGCCCCCCUCGGGGGGUGUUAUAGCCUAUUGUACGAUACCCUGGCGGGGACCGAGGACCGCGCUUCGGCAAGGAUGCUGGCGUAAUGGUCAUCAGCGACCCGUCUUGAAACACGGACCAAGGAGUCGUCCAUUAGAGCGAGCGUUUGGGUGUAAAACCCGCACGCGUAAUGAAAGUGAAAUUAGGUGAGAGCUUCGGCGCAUCAUCGACCGAUCCUGAUGUUCUCGGAUGGAUUUGAGUAAGAGUUUUAACGGACGGACCCGAAAGACAGUGAACUAUGCUUGUAUAGGGUGAAGCCAGAGGAAACUCUGGUGGAGGCUCGCAGCGGUUCUGACGUGCAAAUCGAUCGUCAAAUAUGAGCAUGGGGGCGAAAGACUAAUCGAACUGUCUAGUAGCUGGUUACCGCCGAAGUUUCCCUCAGGAUAGCAGUGUUGACCUUCAGUUUUAUGAGGUAAAGCGAAUGAUUAGGGACUCGGGGGCGCUUAUUAGCCUUCAUCCAUUCUCAAACUUUAAAUAUGUAAGAAGCCCUUGUUACUUAAUUGAACGUGGGCAUUCGAAUGUACCAACACUAGUGGGCCAUUUUUGGUAAGCAGAACUGGCGAUGCGGGAUGAACCGAACGCGGGGUUAAGGCGCCAGAGUGUACGCUCAUCAGACACCACAAAAGGCGUUAGUACAUCUUGACAGCAGGACGGUGGCCAUGGAAGUCGGAAUCCGCUAAGGACUGUGUAACAACUCACCUGCCGAAUGUACUAGCCCUGAAAAUGGAUGGCGCUCAAGCGUACCGCCCAUACCCCGCCUUCAGGGUAGAAACGAUGCC